rnacentral:antisense_RNA from 1 species
GUAGGAGUGAGCCUGCUCGCGAUAGCAGUGUGUCAGUCAGAGUUGAUGUGGCUGACAGACCGCUAUCGCGAGCAGGCUCACUCCUAC